rnacentral:rRNA from 1 species
GUGGCGGACGGGUGAGUAACGCGUGAGCAAUCUACCUUCCUGUACGGAAUAACAACCGGAAACAGUUGCUAAUACCGUAUGACAUAUUUAAUCUGCAUGGAUUGAAUAUCAAAGGCUCGCUGCAGGAAGAUGAGCUCGCGUCCGAUUAGGCAGUUGGCGGGGUAAAAGCCCACCAAACCGACGAUCGGUAGCCGGACUGAGAGGUUGAACGGCCACAUUGGAACUGAGAAACGGUCCAGACUCCUACGGGAGGCAGCAGUGGGGAAUAUUGGGCAAUGGACGAAAGUCUGACCCAGCGACGUCGCGUGAGGGAAGAAGGUCUUCGGAUUGUAAACCUUAGUCAACAGGGAAGAAAGAAAUGACGGUACCUGUGGAGGAAGCCACGGCUAACUACGUGCCAGCAGCCGCGGUAAUACGUAGGUGGCGAGCGUUAUCCGGAAUUACUGGGUGUAAAGGGUGUGUAGGCGGGAUAUCAAGUCAGGUGUGAAAACUAUGG